GCCAGAUCUGGUGGUGCACACCUGUAAUCCCAGUGACUUGGGAGGCUGAGGCAGGAGGAUCAUAAGUUUGAGGUCAAAUUCAGCAAACUAAUGAGGUCUUAAGCAACUUAACAAGAUCCUGUCUCAA
rnacentral:sRNA from 1 species